AGAGCGAACGCUGGCGGCAGGCCUAAUACAUGCAAGUCGAACGGAUCCUUCGGGAUUAGUGGCGGACGGGUGAGUAACACGUGGGAACGUGCCCUUUGGUUCGGAACAACUCAGGGAAACUUGAGCUAAUACCGAAUGUGCCCUUCGGGGGAAAGAUUUAUCGCCAUUGGAGCGGCCCGCGUCUGAUUAGCUAGUUGGUGGGGUAAAGGCCCACCAAGGCGACGAUCAGUAGCUGGUCUGAGAGGAUGAUCAGCCACACUGGGACUGAGACACGGCCCAGACUCCUACGGGAGGCAGCAGUAGGGAAUCUUGCGCAAUGGGCGAAAGCCUGACGCAGCCAUGCCGCGUGAAUGAUGAAGGUCUUAGGAUUGUAAAAUUCUUUCAGCGGGGACGAUAAUGACGGUACCCGCAGAAGAAGCCCCGGCUAACUUCGCGCCAGCAGCCGC
rnacentral:rRNA from 1 species